AGAGUUUGAUUCUGGCUCAGAACGAACGCUGGCGGCGUGGAUAAGACAUGCAAGUCGAACGAGAGAAUUGCUAGCUUGCUAAUAAUUCUCUAGUGGCGCACGGGUGAGUAACACGUGAGUAACCUGCCCCCGAGAGCGGGAUAGCCCUGGGAAACUGGGAUUAAUACCGCAUAGUAUCGAAAGAUUAAAGCAGCAAUGCGCUUGGGGAUGGGCUCGCGGCCUAUUAGUUAGUUGGUGAGGUAACGGCUCACCAAGGCGAUGACGGGUAGCCGGUCUGAGAGGAUGUCCGGCCACACUGGAACUGAGACACGGUCCAGACACCUACGGGUGGCAGCAGUCGAGAAUCAUUCACAAUGGGGGAAACCCUGAUGGUGUGACGCCGCGUGGGGGAAUGAAGGUCUUCGGAUUGUAAACCCCUGUCAUGUGGGAGCAAAUUAAAAAGAUAGUACCACAAGAGGAAGAGACGGCUAACUCUGUGCCAGCAGCCGCGGUAAUACAGAGGUCUCAAGCGUUGUUCGGAAUCACUGGGCGUAAAGCGUGCGUAGGCUGUUUCGUAAGUCGUGUGUGAAAGGCGCGGGCUCAACCCGCGGACGGCACAUGAUACUGCGAGACUAGAGUAAUGGAGGGGGAACCGGAAUUCUCGGUGUAGCAGUGAAAUGCGUAGAUAUCGAGAGGAACACUCGUGGCGAAGGCGGGUUCCUGGACAUUAACUGACGCUGAGGCACGAAGGCCAGGGGAGCGAAAGGGAUUAGAUACCCCUGUAGUCCUGGCAGUAAACGGUGCACGCUUGGUGUGCGGGGAAUCGACCCCCUGCGUGCCGGAGCUAACGCGUUAAGCGUGCCGCCUGGGGAGUACGGUCGCAAGAUUAAAACUCAAAGAAAUUGACGGGGACCCGCACAAGCGGUGGAGUAUGUGGCUUAAUUCGAUGCAACGCGAAGAACCUUACCUGGGCUUGACAUGUAAUGAACAACAUGUGAAAGCAUGCGACUCUUCGGAGGCGUUACACAGGUGCUGCAUGGUCGUCGUCAGCUCGUGUCGUGAGAUGUUUGGUUAAGUCCAGCAACGAGCGCAACCCCUGUUGCCAGUUACCAGCACGUGAAGGUGGGGACUCUGGCGAGACUGCCCAGAUCAACUGGGAGGAAGGUGGGGACGACGUCAGGUCAGUAUGGCCCUUAUGCCCAGGGCUGCACACGUACUACAAUGCCCAGUACAGAGGGGGCCGAAGCCGCGAGGCGGAGGAAAUCCUGAAAACUGGGCCCAGUUCGGACUGUAGGCUGCAACCCGCCUACACGAAGCCGGAAUCGCUAGUAAUGGCGCAUCAGCUACGGCGCCGUGAAUACGUUCCCGGGUCUUGUACACACCGCCCGUCACAUCAUGGAAGCCGGUCGCACCCGAAGUAUCUGAAGCCAACCGCAAGGAGGCAGGGUCCUAAGGUGAGACUGGUAACUGGGAUGAAGUCGUAACAAGGUAGCCGUAGGGGAACCUGCGG
rnacentral:rRNA from 1 species